rnacentral:rRNA from 1 species
CCCUUAGAUGUUCUGGGCCGCACGCGCGCUACACUGACACGUUCAUCAAGUCUAUAACCUUGACCGAGAGGUCUGGGUAAUCUUUUAAAAACGUGUCGUGCUGGGGAUAGAUUAUUGCAAUUAUUAAUCUUCAACGAGGAAUUCCUAGUAAACGCAAGUCAUCAACUUGCAUUGAUUACGUCCCUGCCCUUUGUACACACCGCCCGUCGCUCCUACCGAUUGAAUGCUCAGGUGAGCCAUUCGGACUUUCAUCAUGCUGGUUUCCAGUUUUGAUGAAGGAAAGUCUUGCGAACCUUAUCAUUUAGAGGAAGGAGAAGUCGUAACA